GCUUCGAUGGCCUAGUGGUUAGAGCGCCCGCCUCUGAUUCGAGAGGUUGUGGGUUCUAUCCCCGAUCGAGUCA